rnacentral:tRNA from 1 species
UCUUCAGUCGUAUAGUGGUUAGUAUUUCUGCUUGUCACGCAGGAGACCUGGGUUCAAUUCCCAGCUGGAGAG